rnacentral:rRNA from 1 species
GUGGGGAAUCUUAGACAAUGGGGGAAACCCUGAUCUAGCCAUGCCGCGUGAGCGAUGAAGGCCUUAGGGUUGUAAAGCUCUUUCAGCUGGGAAGAUAAUGACGGUACCAGCAGAAGAAGCCCCGGCUAACUCCGUGCCAGCAGCCGCGGUAAUACGGAGGGGGCUAGCGUUGUUCGGAAUUACUGGGCGUAAAGCGCGCGUAGGCGGACCAGAAAGUUGGAGGUGAAAUCCCAGGGCUCAACCUUGGAACUGCCUUCAAAACUCCUGGUCUGGAGUUCGAGAGAGGUGAGUGGAAUUCCGAGUGUAGAGGUGAAAUUCGUAGAUAUUCGGAGGAACACCAGUGGCGAAGGCGGCUCACUGGUCUGGUACUGACGCUGAGGUGCGAAAGCGUGGGGAGCAAACAGGAUUAGAAACCCGGGUAGUCC